UUUUCUUUUUGUAAUCCUUUGGAGAAAUUCCCUUGACUUCAUACACGGAAAGAUAUACCGGCU
rnacentral:RNase_MRP_RNA from 12 species